rnacentral:rRNA from 1 species
GCUGACGAGUGGCGGACGGGUGAGUAAUGUCUGGGAAACUGCCUGAUGGAGGGGGAUAACUACUGGAAACGGUGGCUAAUACCGCAUAACGUCGCAAGACCAAAGAGGGGGACCUUCGGGCCUCUUGCCAUCAGAUGUGCCCAGAUGGGAUUAGCUUGUUGGUGAGGUAACGGCUCACCAAGGCGACGAUCCCUAGCUGGUCUGAGAGGAUGACCAGCCACACUGGAACUGAGACACGGUCCAGACUCCUACGGGAGGCAGCAGUGGGGAAUAUUGCACAAUGGGCGCAAGCCUGAUGCAGCCAUGCCGCGUGUAUGAAGAAGGCCUUCGGGUUGUAAAGUACUUUCAGCGGGGAGGAAGGUGUUGCGGUUAAUAACCGCAGCAAUUGACGUUACCCGCAGAAGAAGCACCGGCUAACUCCGUGCCAGCAGCCGCGGUAAUACGGAGGGUGCAAGCGUUAAUCGGAAUUACUGGGCGUAAAGCGCACGCAGGCGGUCUGUCAAGUCGGAUGUGAAAUCCCCGGGCUCAACCUGGGAACUGCAUUCGAAACUGGCAGGCUUGAGUCUUGUAGAGGGGGGUAGAAUUCCAGGUGUAGCGGUGAAAUGCGUAGAGAUCUGGAGGAAUACCGGUGGCGAAGGCGGCCCCCUGGACAAAGACUGACGCUCAGGUGCGAAAGCGUGGGGAGCAAACAGGAUUAGAUACCCUGGUAGUCCACGCCGUAAACGAUGUCUACUUGGAGGUUGUGCCCUUGAGGCGUGGCUUCCGGAGCUAACGCGUUAAGUAGACCGCCUGGGGAGUACGGCCGCAAGGUUAAAACUCAAAUGAAUUGACGGGGGCCCGCACAAGCGGUGGAGCAUGUGGUUUAAUUCGAUGCAACGCGAAGAACCUUACCUGGUCUUGACAUCCACAGAACUUUCCAGAGAUGGAUUGGUGCCUUCGGGAACUGUGAGACAGGUGCUGCAUGGCUGUCGUCAGCUCGUGUUGUGAAAUGUUGGGUUAAGUCCCGCAACGAGCGCAACCCUUAUCCUUUGUUGCCAGCGGUCCGGCCGGGAACUCAAAGGAGACUGCCAGUGAUAAACUGGAGGAAGGUGGGGAUGACGUCAAGUCAUCAUGGCCCUUACGACCAGGGCUACACACGUGCUACAAUGGCGCAUACAAAGAGAAGCGACCUCGCGAGAGCAAGCGGACCUCAUAAAGUGCGUCGUAGUCCGGAUUGGAGUCUGCAACUCGACUCCAUGAAGUCGGAAUCGCUAGUAAUCGUGGAUCAGAAUGCCACGGUGAAUACGUUCCCGGGCCUUGUACACACCGCCCGUCACACCAUGGGAGUGGGUUGCAAAAGAAGUAGGUAGCUUAACCUUCGGGAGGGCGCUUACCACUUUGUGAUUCAUGACUGGGGUGAAGUCGUAACAAGGUAACCGUAGGGGAACCUGCGGUUG